GCCCAGGUGGCGGAAUUGGUAGACGCACUAGUUUCAGGGACUAGCGCCGCGAGGCGUAGGGGUUCAAGUCCCCUCUUGGGCA
rnacentral:tRNA from 1 species